UAGUCUGCCUUAGGGUCUCCCCUGA
rnacentral:piRNA from 1 species